rnacentral:rRNA from 1 species
UUUGAUCCUGGCUCAGAUUGAACGCUGGCGGCAGGCCUAACACAUGCAAGUCGAGCGGAUGAAGAGAGCUUGCUCUCUGAUUCAGCGGCGGACGGGUGAGUAAUGCCUAGGAAUCUGCCUGGUAGUGGGGGACAACGUUUCGAAAGGAACGCUAAUACCGCAUACGUCCUACGGGAGAAAGCAGGGGACCUUCGGGCCUUGCGCUAUCAGAUGAGCCUAGGUCGGAUUAGCUAGUUGGUGAGGUAACGGCUCACCAAGGCGACGAUCCGUAACUGGUCUGAGAGGAUGAUCAGUCACACUGGAACUGAGACACGGUCCAGACUCCUACGGGAGGCAGCAGUGGGGAAUAUUGGACAAUGGGCGAAAGCCUGAUCCAGCCAUGCCGCGUGUGUGAAGAAGGUCUUCGGACUGUAAAGCACUUUAAGUUGGGAGGAAGGGCAUUAACCUAAUACGUUAGUGUUUUGACGUUACCGACAGAAUAAGCACCGGCUAACUUCGUGCCAGCAGCCGCGGUAAUACGAAGGGUGCAAGCGUUAAUCGGAAUUACUGGGCGUAAAGCGUGCGCAGGCGGUCCGCUAAGACAGAUGUGAAAUCCCCGGGCUUAACCUGGGAACUGCAUUUGUGACUGGCGGGCUAGAGUAUGGCAGAGGGGGGUAGAAUUCCACGUGUAGCAGUGAAAUGCGUAGAGAUGUGGAGGAAUACCGAUGGCGAANGCAGCCCCCUGGGCCAAUACUGACGCUCAUGCACGAAAGCGUGGGGAGCAAACAGGAUUAGAUACCCUGGUAGUC